UGAUCCCAAACACUCAAAGGAAGAUAUAUGUCUUUGUUUAAAGGACUGCUCAUUGUUCUUGCAUUCAGAAAAUAAUGACAUUAGUCUACAUCGCAUUGUUCACAAAGCAAUUAUUGUUUAUCAAUCUGAACAUUCAAAUGAAGAACAUGAAAUGGAAACUAACGUUGAUCAAAUAUCUAAAGCACUUUACAUGUUUAAAGAGAGAGACGACGAAAUCAAAUUAAUGCCACAUCUUGAAAAAAUUGUUCAAUUAUUAAAGACCAACAAGACAAAAAUCAACAUGAACACUUUACAAGUUUUCCAAUAUUUUGUUGACAGAUUAAGACAUUUUGGAAAAUACGAUCUUGCUCUUGAACUAUUGGAUAAAUUUAAAUCAGAAGAAUCUAGUUAUGACAAAGCUUGGUAUUUUAAUAUCCUUGGUCUUUUAUACCAUGACACUGGGAAGUAUAGCAAAGCUAAAAAUCAUCACGAAAAAGCUCUGGAAAUUCGAAAACAAUCGUUAGGUCCAAAUCAUGUUGAUGUCGCUAAGUCUUUAAAACAAUCUAGGUGUGUUGUAUUAUGAAACUGGAAUAUGACAAAGCUUUACAGUUACACUUUGGUAGCUACGUGUUUCAAAGAAAAUUGUGCCUUCUAAAUUAUGUUAAGCCUAUUUUUAACACAUAGACCGUAGGAGCAAGGCUUCCACCUGCCAAGUCAGCUCCCCUCUCCCUCAGAAGGUAUUUUUGGUAGUGAAUAAAACGUUUGCAAUUUGCAUUUUGUGAGGUAAAAUGAACCUAAAGAUGUAAUGAUCCUUGUCUAUAUAUUGUUUCACUGAUAUCUAGUCAAUAAACUUACUCUACAAGGAAUCAUCCUAAGUAGAACUUAGAACUGCCCAUGCCCUGAAUCUGACAUUCUUCUUUAGACUUUAUUUCUAAAGUAAUUUGCUUUUAUGUUAUAACCAAGUAGUAAUUUUAUUGUAUGAUUUACAAACAUACUAAAGUAUAUUGGGAUGACAGAAUUUUGUUAAAUAAAUACUAUCCUGUUAGUUGUUCA